rnacentral:rRNA from 1 species
AGUGAACGCUGGCGGUAGGCCUAACACAUGCAAGUCGAACGGCAGCACAGUAAGAGCUUGCUCUUACGGGUGGCGAGUGGCGGACGGGUGAGGAAUACAUCGGAAUCUACUUUUUCGUGGGGGAUAACGUAGGGAAACUUACGCUAAUACCGCAUACGACCUACGGGUGAAAGCAGGGGAUCUUCGGACCUUGCGCGAUUGAAUGAGCCGAUGUCGGAUUAGCUAGUUGGCGGGGUAAAGGCCCACCAAGGCGACGAUCCGUAGCUGGUCUGAGAGGAUGAUCAGCCACACUGGAACUGAGACAAGGUCCAGACUCCUACGGGAGGCAGCAGUGGGGAAUAUUGGACAAUGGGCGAAAGCCUGAUCCAGCCAUACCGCGUGGGUGAAGAAGGCCUUCGGGUUGUAAAGCCCUUUUGUUGGGAAAGAAAAGAAGCAGGUUAAUACCCCGCUGUUCUGACGGUACCCAAAGAAUAAGCACCGGCGAACGUCGUGC